CAUCCUGGGGCUGUAGUCGGUCCCAAGGGUUGGGCUGUUCGCCCAUUAAAGCGGUACGCGAGCUGGGUUCAGAACGUCGUGAGACCGUUCGGUCCCUAUCCGUCGUGGGCGUAGGAAAUUUGAGAGGUGCUGUCCUUAGUACGAGAGGACCGGGAUGGACAUACCUCUGGUGUACCAGUUGUCGUGCCAACGGCAUAGCUGGGUAGCUAUGUA
rnacentral:rRNA from 1 species